CACGUCCCCAGCCCUAUUUGUAUUUUAUUUAAAGACUGAGUUUCUUAGUGACUCACUUUUGCUAAUGCUGGCUUUGAACUCGAGAUCCUCCUGUCUCAGCCUCCUGAGCCGCUGGGAUUAUAGGCGUGCGUCAGGCCCAGCUCAUGUGCUGCUGCUGCCUCUUCUUUUAUUUACUUAUCUGUUUAUUUAUUUAUCUAUUUAUUUAUUUAUGGCAGUACUGGGGAUUGAAUCCAGGAGUGCUUUACCACUGAGCUACAUCCCCAGUCCCUUUUUUAUCUUUUACUUUGAGACAAAGUCUCAGUAAGUUGCCCAGGCUGGUCUUGAACCUACCCUCAGCCUUCCAAGUCACUGGCCUUACAAGAAUGUGCCACUGCUCUGAGCUCUUUUUACUUUUUUAAUGUGGCCACUAGAAACAUUUAAAUUACGUAUGAGGCUGUUAUAUUGCCACUGGCUGUCUGCUUUUGAGCCCAGGGUAGAGGAAGGGCUGUACUUUAACUUUUUGACUUUAUGUACUUUCGAAUUGUUUGAUUUUGUUACGGUAAAUUAUAAAUUAUGGGUGACUCUCAUAAUUUAUAUAGAACAAUAAUAAACAGUUUUAAAAUUGUUGAAACAAAAAGUUUUCAUGAUCAAGAAAAAUGCUGAGAGACUGUUUCCUCUGAUUGGUUUCCUUUGUGAUAGUGUGUCAGUGUCUGAAAUAAAUGUUUUGCCAUCAGGUGAUUAUAAAAUAUAACUCAGGUGGUGUCUCUGUGAUUUACCAGCAGUUUCUAAUUGCCUGACCCCCUCCCCCCUUUUUUUUUGAUUGCUG
rnacentral:lncRNA from 1 species